ACCGAGUCUUAAUAGGGCGCAUUAGUAUCAUGUCGUAGACCCGAAACCAUGUGACCUACCCAUGAGCAGGUUGAAGGUGAGGUAAAACUCACUGGAGGACCGAACCAGGGCACGUUGAAAAGUGCUUGGAUGACUUGUGGGUAGCGGAGAAAUUCCAAUCGAACUUGGAGAUAGCUGGUUCUCUCCGAAAUCUCUUUAGGGGGAGCCUCGAGGUUUAGAAUCAUGGAGGUAGAGCACUGUUUGGACUAGGGGCCCGUCAUGGGUUACUGACUUCAGAUAAACUCCGAAUGCCAUUGAUUUUUACUCGGGAGUCACACGGUGAGUGAUAAGAUCCAUCGUGGAAAGGGGAACAGCCCAGAUCAUCAGCUAAGGUCCCUAAAUAUAUGCUAAGUGGAAAAGGAUGUGGAAUUGCACAGACAACUAGGAUGUUGGCUCAGAAGCAGCCAUCAUUUAAAGAGUGCGUAAUAGCUCACUAGUCGAGUGACUCUGCGCCGAAAAUGUACCGGGGCUAAGCAUAUUACCGAAGCUAUGGAUGCAUCCAUCAGGAUGCGUGGUAGGAGAGCGUUCCAAGGGCGAUGAAGUCAGACCGUAAGGACUGGUGGAGCGCUUGGAAGUGAGAAUGCCGGUAUGAGUAGCGAAAGACAGGUGAGAAUCCUGUCCACCGAAUGACUAAGGUUUCCUGGGGAAGGCUCGUCCUCCCAGGGUUAGUCGGGACCUAAGUCGAGGCCGAGAGGCGUAGACGAUGGACAACAGGUUGAUAUUCCUGUACCAGUUGAUUGUGCUUGAGUGAUGGAGUGACGCAGAAGGCUAAGCGAUCCGGACGAUUGGAAGUGUCCGGCCAAGCAGCAAGUCAGUUGAUGAGUCAAAUGCUUAUCAGCGAGUUGACAAGCUGUGAUGGGGAGCGAAAUUAUAGUAGCGAAGUCGUUGAUGUCACGCUGCCGAGAAAAGCUUCUAGCGAAUAAUCAACUGCCCGUACCGCAAACCGACACAGGUAGUCGAGGAGAGUAUCCUAAGGUGAGCGAGCGAACUCUCGUUAAGGAACUCGGCAAAAUGACCCCGUAACUUCGGGAGAAGGGGUGCUGAUCGCAAGAUCAGCCGCAGUGAAAAGGCCCAGGCGACUGUUUAUCAAAAACACAGGUUUCUGCAAAAUCGUAAGAUGAAGUAUAGGGGCUGACGCCUGCCCGGUGCUGGAAGGUUAAAAGGAAGAGUUAGCUUCGGCGAAGCCCUGAAUUGAAGCCCCAGUAAACGGCGGCCGUAACUAUAACGGUCCUAAGGUAGCGAAAUUCCUUGUCGGGUAAGUUCCGACCCGCACGAAAGGCGUAACGAUCUGGGCACUGUCUCAACGAGAGACUCGGUGAAAUUGAAUUGCCUGUGAAGAUGCAGGCUACCCGCGACAGGACGGAAAGACCCCAUGGAGCUUUACUGUAGCUUGAUAUUGAGUGCUUGUACUGCUUGUACAGGAUAGGUAGGAGCCAUAGAAGCCAGGACGCUAGUUUUGGCAGAGGCGUUGGUGGGAUACUACCCUUGCAUUAUGAUCACUCUAACCCGCACCACUGAUCGUGGUGGGAGACAGUGUCAGGUGGGCAGUUUGACUGGGGCGGUCGCCUCCCAAAAGAUAACGGAGGCGCCCAAAGGUUCGCUCAGAAUGGUUGGAAAUCAUUCGCAGAGUGUAAAGGCACAAGCGAGCUUGACUGCGAGACAGACAGGUCGAGCAGGGACGAAAGUCGGGCUUAGUGAUCCGGUGGUUCCGCAUGGAAGGGCCAUCGCUCAACGGAUAAAAGCUA
rnacentral:rRNA from 1 species